rnacentral:lncRNA from 1 species
UCCAGCCCCACCCGCCAGGUAACUUUUGAAAGCGCCGGAGCGCGCGCGCACCUCCCCCGCGCUCCGCUGUGCCCUCCCCCGCGUUCCCCUGUGCCCGCCCUCGCAGCCUCGCGCAUGCGCGUAGCUCCCUGGGCGCUUCGAAGAUCCAGCGGCUUGCUGUGAGUCCGGGAGGCAAAAUUGUACCCAUUUCAAAGAUGUGAUGACUAAAGUCUCGAGAGGGCCAAGGCUCGCCCAAGGUUGCUCUGUGGUGACAGCUUUACCUCCUUGCUAUGUAUUCUCAGAUAUUGCAAACGGACGAGAGAAAAGUGGAGAAUGAAUCCUGGAGAAAACAAGGUCGUUCGACGAUUUCGACACGUCGCAUCCCUGAGAGUCUCUCGUGUCCUGAUCAACUCGAGAACUGGAGGCGGUGACAUUUUAGAUGCUGCAGUGAAAGCCACAGAGCCACGGAAGGCCGAGACUCCACCAUGUUUGUGAUCUUCACAUUCAGCAAACUCACUCGCACUCUGCCUCAUCUUAUCUCUAGAAUGUAUUUUACCACACUGUGUCCCUUCUUUAGUGGGAAUGUCUUUGGCCAAAAAUAAUGAAUAGUUCUGACCUGACUUGCUAAUACCCAGUGAUAAAAGGAUGGAAUUUGUUGGGAAUAAAAGAAAACUAAGCUUACAAACGAGGGCCCUGAUGCUCCGUUCCGAGCUUGGUCAUCUAAUUUCCAGCCACAAUGUGGUCGAGAUGACAUUUGGAGAGGCCCCAGGUGGACAUCAAUACACUGUCAACCUCCAUACUCAACUCUAAGCUGUCCCUGGGAAUUUCAGCCAUUCCUAACCUCCAGAGGGCGCCCGCUAUGCCCUUACUCCCCUAAACCAAGGUUCCA